rnacentral:piRNA from 1 species
UAACAACCUUGUCAUGGUUUUGUUGGGUU